rnacentral:misc_RNA from 1 species
AGAUAGGGUAGCAUCAAAGGCACCAUAUCAAUUAAACAACCCCUCAUCACCUGCUCGUCCUAGACCAUAUGAAGAAAGCAAUCCCAUUAUUAUUGACCUAGAAGUAGAAGGCCAAUCAUCGAAACAGCUUGAGCUUAAAUUAUAGUUGAUUUGUUCAUGAUCACCAUACAACUUGGGAUGUUGUAGUGAAUUUGAAAAGAUCCUAGCUGUUACCCUU